CUACGGGGGGCAGCAGUGAGGGAUAUUGCACAAUGGGGGAAACCCUGAUGCAGCAACGCCGCGUGGAGGAUGACGCAUUUCGGUGUGUAAACCCCUUUUAUCAGAGAAGAAAAUGACGGUAUCUGAUGAAUAAGCUCCGGCUAACUCCGUGCCAGCAGCCGCGGUAAUACGGAGGGAGCAAGCGUUAUUCGGAAUCACUGGGCGUAAAGGACGCGUAGGCGGGUCAUUAAGUCAGGUGUGAAAUCCAAUGGCUCAACCAUUGAACUGCACUUGAAACUGGUAACCUAGAGUAUGGAAGGGGCAGAUGGAAUUAGUGGUGUAGGGGUAAAAUCCGUAGAUAUCACUAGGAAUACCGAAAGCGAAGGCGAUCUGCUGGGACAUUACUGACGCUGAGGCGUGAAAGCGUGGGGAGCAAACAGGAUUAGAUACCCGGGUAGUC
rnacentral:rRNA from 1 species